AGAGAUGGAGAUAAAACUGUCCAGUUUGAGUGUUUGUUGCAGCUCGUUCCAGUCGCCGGCUGCAGCGAACUGAAAAGACCAGCUUAGCCUAGUAAUUACCUAGUUAGCUAGCAAAGUCACUCAAACUAAUUGUGCUAAUAAAAAUUGUAGUUUGUUUGUUUACCAGUCCUCCUACUAACUUGAAAUGGUUCUAACCAGGUUAAGUAUGCUAACCAGGUUAAGUAUGCUAAUCAGGUUAAGUAUGAUUGAAUAAGUAUCUUUCUAAAUGUGUGACUGCCUUCAUCAAGUAACCAAUCAGCUGUCUGACAGCACGGUCAUUAUGUAGCCAAUCAGCUGUCUGACAGCACGGUCAUUAUGUAGCCAAUCAGCUGUCUGACAGCACGGUCAUUAUGUAGCCAAUCAGCUGUCUGACAGCACGGUCAUUAUGUAGCCAAUCAGCUGUCUGACAGCACGGUCAUUAUGUAGCCAAUCAGCUGUCUGACAGCACGGUCAUUAUGUAGCCAAUCAGCUGUCUGACAGCACAGUCAUUAUGUAACCAAUCAGCUGUCUGACAGCACGGUCAUUAUGUAACCAAUCAGCUGUCUGACAGCACGGUCAUUAUGUAGCCAAUCAGCUGUCUGACAGCACGGUCAUUAUGUAGCCAAUCAGCUGUCUGACAGCACGGUCAUUAUGUAGCCAAUCAGCUGUCUGACAGCACGGUCACCUGGUUCAGAGUGUGACUCUGUGACUGUACUGUCUGGUCUCCUCCUCUCUUCGUCUGUGACUGUACUGUCUGGUCUCCUCCUCUUCGUCUGUGACUGUACUGUCUGGUCUCCUCUCUUCGUCUGUGACUGUACUGUCUGGUCUCCUCCUCUCUUCGUCUGUGACUGUACUGUCUGGUCUCCUCCUCCUCCUCUCUUCGUCUGUGACUGUACUGUCUCCUCCUCCUCCUCUCUUCGUCUGUGACUGUACUGUCUGGUCUCCUCCUCUCUUCGUCUGUGACUGUACUGUCUGGUCUCCUCUCUUCGUCUGUGACUGUACUGUCUGGUCUCCUCCUCUCUUCCUCUGUGACUGUACUGUCUGGUCUCCUCCUCUCUUCAUCUGUGACUGUACUGUCUGGUCUCCUCCUCCUCUCUUCGUCUGUGACUGUACUGUCUGGUCUCCUCUCUUCGUCUGUGACUGUACUGUCUGGUCUCCUCCUCUCUUCGUCUGUGACUGUACUGUCUGGUCCUCCUCCUCUCUUCAUCUGUGACUGUACUGUCUGGUCUCCUCUCUUCGUCUGUGACUGUACUGUCUGGUCUCCUCCUCUCUUCGUCUGUGACUGUACUGUCUGGUCUCCUCCUCCUCUCUUCGUCUGUGACUGUACUGUCUGGUCUCCUCUCUUCGUCUGUGACUGUACUGUCUGGUCUCCUCCUCCUCUCUUCGUCUGUGACUGUACUGUCUGGUCUCCUCUCUUCGUCUGUGACUGUACUGUCUGGUCUCCUCCUCUCUUCGUCUGUGACUGUACUGUCUGGUCUCCUCCUCCUCUCUUCGUCUGUGACUGUACUGUCUGGUCUCCUCUCUUCGUCUGUGACUGUACUGUCUGGUCUCCUCCUCCUCUCUUCAUCUGUGACUGUACUGUCUGGUCUNNNNNNNNNNNNNNNNNNNNAACACAACAUGACAACACAACAUGGUAGCAACACAACAUGGUAGCAACACAACAUGACAACACAACAUGGUAGCAACACAACAUGACAACAACAUGGUAGCAGAACAAAACAUGGUACAAACAUUAUUUGGCCCAGACAACAGCACAAAGGUCAAGAAGGUAGAGACAACAAUACAUCACACAAAGCAGCCACAACUGUCAGUAAGAGAGUCCAUGAUUUGAGUCUUUGAAUGAAGAGAUGGAGAUAAAACUGUCCAGUUUGAGUGUUUGUUGCAGCUCGUUCCAGUCGCCGGCUGCAGCGAACUGAAAAGACCAGCUUAGCCUAGUAAUUACCUAGUUAGCUAGCAAAG
rnacentral:lncRNA from 8 species